rnacentral:lncRNA from 1 species
UAUUUGCAGAUGUUUGUUUGCUUUGGGACCCACUCCUGCUGAGUUUUUCAGCUCUCAACCAACUGUAACCCUAAGAAAAUACAACAGAAAGCUGAAUUCCAGCUCUACAGCUGAACCUGAAUUUUCACCCAGUCUGACCAGGGGGAUGAAGCCUUGCUGUGGGAUCAGUCCCUACGGCACUGCGUGGCUCUGAAGCACGUGCCAGAAAUGGCUGCUCUACCUUGGGGAAUGCAGAAGCCAGAAGUAAAUUUUGAAGAGCAGCUGAAAAAAGUGAAGGAGACUUAUCCCUGGGAUCUCUGUCCAUCUUGCAGGGAGGAACAAGCACAGACUUUCUGAGGGGUGAGGGCUUGCAACACGCAAGGCUUGUGAGCUGUUAGACCAAACAUCUGGGACCUCCAGAAUGGCUGCAUUGAUGGAUCCAGUGAAAGUCACAAAGGCAAACUGGCAGCUGUAUCACUACCAGUUGGUCACCAGCAAUUGUGACUGCAUACUUGAACAAGCAUGCCAAAAAUACUCUCUGCUGUAGAACUUAUUUGCUAGUUCAGAAGCGUUUUAUAAUUGCAGAUGAUAAAGGAAGUCUGUUGGAUUGUCCCCACUCGUUCUCCUAGAAAAAAAAUGAACUACACAGUGCAAAUGAUAUUUUUCACCCUUUUCUAAUUAGCUAAUAUGCUAUGCGUCAUGGUUUACUUCUGACCUUAUUCUGGAAGGUUAGAAACAUAGACAGCAAUGGGAUACUUUGGUUCUUUUAAUUUGUUCAUCUUACUUUAAAAUAUAUGUAUACAAAUAGCAAGGAUCUUUCACCCAGAGGUGAUCAGCUCUUGCUAAUACUG